CGUCACUCGUGUCUCGCUACCAGCUCCCCGCUGCCCUGCGCUCGGCGGGCUGGCAUCCGGCCCGGGGGAAAGCGGACCACCCUUCUGCAGGUCUGCGGGGCCAAGUGUCCCGGCGGCGCACCUCGUGGCGAGAAUCGGGAGAAGGAGGAGACUACAAGGAUAGGCCCAGAGUAAUGGAGUCCAAAGAGAAACGAGCAGUAAACAGUCUCAGCAUGGAAAAUGCCAACCAAGAAAAUGAAGAA
rnacentral:lncRNA from 1 species